AAUUAAUUUUUUUUAAAAAAAUCAAAAACUAAUUACUCCCUCCAUCCCUUAAUACUUGCACCGCUUCCCUUUUCGAGCCGUCCCUUAAUACUUACACCGCUUCUAUAAAUGAAAUGCGAGUAUGAAAGAACGGCGGGACUAAAUCAAAAAAUUCGGAAAUACACAAAAAAAAAAAAAAAAAAAAAAAAAACUGAAAAUUAAACUCAAAAAUAAAAAGUUUCCGAAAUUACCAAGAAGCCGGAAAACUAGAAAACGGGGCACCAAAUUGCCGGAAAACAAAUGUUUGCCACCGGAGUUGUGGCGGAAAGUCUUCGCGAAGCUGACGGUGAAGACCCUAGUCCGAUUCAGGUGCGUCUGAAAAACUGGUGCUCUCAAAUCGAUUCCCCUAAUUUCAUUUUUAUGUAUUUUAGAAUCUUCAAGGACAAUUCUGACAAAACUCACUUACUAGCCGUCGAAAAGGAGGUAAAUUUGGAAAAUUUGGGAGCAUAAUCACAAUUCGUCAAAGCGACACAUUUGGAAACCGCCCUACUUCUGCAAACCUAAAAAACAUAUGCUCUGGUUGGGAAUUGUAAUGGGUUGGCAGUUGCUAGAUUCUUAUAUCUCUGAAUUUGACGGGAAAUUGAGUUUGUGAAACUUUUCUAUUAGAGAAUCCUUGACACUUCCGCCUCCCCCACUGACUUUUAAGUGCUUAAUUACUAGCUAUUAUCUGGGAUUUCCCCCUUCUAGUAAUGAUUAUGACGUUGUGUUUGGGACUGAUUGUAUUCCAGAUUCUGGGGCCGAUUUAGGUCUUUUGCAGUUUAUUUGCUCACUGACUACCUACGGACUAUCAAACAAAGUACGAUCAAGUUGCCUGAUAUGUUUGUGUAUUCACUUCUGUUUGAAUCUUGUUAUUUCUAGGGGCAAUACAUUAUAUGGUGUGUGAUACAAAUCUAUGUCCUGGAGAGGAUAGAGGUACCCAUGUUCUUUCCUUCUGUGGAGUCAAAUGUUCAAGUGCCUUUUCAUCCUUGGUGGUGGCUGUUUUUGGCAUAUCUUCUUCAAAUAGUCUCAUAUGGGUUAUGAGUAAGGAUGGUGGAGAGAAGCAAGGGCAUUGGAGUCUUGAGGUUUUCUGGAGAUUCUUGUUUAGAUGCUUACAUGUUCUUUACAAGAUUCAAAUUUGAAAAGAUUUUCUAUGAUGAACACAGUGGUACAUUAUAUACAGUGACCUGCCAAAAAUGGCAAUUGAUGCCUUAUAACAUUACAAGCUAUACUAUGUGUUGUCUGGGAAAAUCUAUUUGGCCUAAAAUAUGACAUGUGGAUACUGCUGGGGAGAGCUUGGUGUUGUGCAAGGACGUGAAAGCCAAACUUUGAUAUCAUUCCAUGAAAUGGUGAAUUCCGGAUGAUCAAAGCAUUACAACCCAUGAAGUGGAGCAUUUGAGGAAAUCUAAGGAUUUUGUCAGAGUGCACAAUAUGUGGAGAGCUUGGUUUUGUGCUGAGGACCUGAAGGCCAAAAUUGACAACUUUCUCAUGAAAGGUUUAGUUUCAAAUGGCUGAUUCUGGGAGUUGGCAGUGAUGCAUACUAACGGAAGUCAAAGUUACUUGCUGAUGUAGUAGCAUCUUCUCUUGUUUUUUCGUUCAGACACAGCUGGUGUGUUCAAGACGUAUCUGGCCUUGAUGCAUUGAAGUCGAAGUCAAACUUAGUGGCGAAUGGAAGAACAUCUCCUUUUGGUCCCUUUGCCAAGUGUUCAACGAAGAAAAUUCCACACCCAAAGAAACAUACAAAAGGCUGCAUUUUGACUUUUAAUCAUUGUAGACUUUGUUUGAAAUUUUGAAUUUGGUUGUUGGAGAAUAUACAUGGUCAAGAUAAGGAAAAGCAGCCAACGCAAAUGUUGACGCAUUGACGUAAAAUGAGGACUGAGGAGGCACCAAAAGCUACUUAUGUUCAUGCAGGGGUCCAAUUUGGGAGGACUUAAUCGUCCAGACUUAUUUGGAGAGCUUGGUGUUAUCCAAACCCAAUAUCAUUAUGAUUAGCUGAAUCGUCGAUUCCUGACUUCUUAGAAUACAGUAAUUGUUGAAAUUGGCGGCUGGUGGAAGAUUGAUCAUCUCCGUUCAACUUUCUUUACCCAGAAAACAGAGGAAUCCAUCAGUCAUGGAGUAUGGAGGAAAGUGAAUGCUGGUGGUGCAAUUUAAGGAAGAGAAACUUCAAUUUGUUAAGGGAAAAGGAGUAUGUAUAAAGCUAGAAACUUGAGCAUAUGUAACUGAGAACAACAUUUCUACAAAAGUAAUGGAGAAUAAGAAAGACAUCAGAUAUACAUAAAGCUUGAAAUAAAAAACAUGUCCAAGUUGAAUAUGAAUGAUCAUUUAUCAAAUAAAUCAGGUCAAUUCUUAUUAAGAAUGCAUAUUAACUUUAAUGGCAUACCAUCAUAGCUUGUGUAAGAUUAUCUGAGCACCAUGUUGAGGUUGUAGAAACAUAAUAAUCUUGGGUGCAUGAACGUAGGAUGGUGAGAGCUCAAAGGAAAAGCGUUGUAGAAUCAUGGAUAUUGCCAUUUUUGCUUCCGUCAUGGCGAAUUUUUCACCUAUGCAUAUUCUUGGUCCCCAACCGAAGGGGAAAAAUGAGGGUUGAUUAACUUCCGAUGUUUGGCCCAUUUCUCUCCUUCAUAGCUUACAACCCCUGGAAUAAGCUUGUCGAAAAUGGGGUUCAACUUCACCUUUCGAAUUUCUUCUGUUUUGGUCAACGCCUCUUUAAUCAUCUCUGGCUUUGAGAUUUGUAUAAUAGGUAUAGGGCCAAACCAGAGAAAGAAAUCGUUUCCUGCAGUUUUGAACCCAAAUUGCCAAACCAAUCAUGAAAACCAUAUCAUGUAAGCAUAUACAGUCAAAGUUUUAUGUCCACAAUUCCUUAAAAAGUCAAAUUGUUGCGAGUAUGUAGUCAAAUUUGAACAUGUCAGCUCUCAAUUCAGCCUGAUCUACUUCAUUCCUUUGCCAAAGCAGUCAAAUUUCAAAAUGUCAACCCAACAGGUUCCUCAUUCAUUAAAAACAGGAAAUCCAGAAAAAUUACUGAAAAAAACAGAGGAUAGAUUACAGACCAAAUUUGGAUGCAAGCUGAUGGCGGAAAGGUUCCACUCGAGGAAAAUAAUCAUUGGAGAAGACAGUCAUUGGGAUUUUUAAGGCCUCGGCACGGAGCGAGGUGUAUUCUUUGAGAUCUCCAAACAAGAAUUUGUAAGAAGUACCAGAGAAACCUUGCUGUUUGAGCAAUUUUUCCAUCUUCCUAGGCUUUAACCAUACCCAAUUCACCACUUUGAUUAACACUGUCAAUACUAUUAUGCAUACUACUGAUAGCAAAACAGAGCUUGCUGUCAUUUUUUCCAAUUUUUGCACUGAAAUCUCAAGAUAGAAGCUCCUUCAUCUUUCUAAUGUUUAAUUAGAGGGGGUGAAAAACAGAUGAGUUGCUGCCUUGCUGGUUGCUCUGAUUCAAGAAAGUCAACUCUUAUUUUUUUUAUAAUUUUUUUUUUUCAAUUUCAAUUUGUUUAAUACUUCGUAUAAGAGUGUGUUUUAUUCAUUUAAUUUUUACUUAUCUUUUCUGUAUUUAUCUGAAGUUACCUGAACUUAUUAGAAAUUAUCAAACUUAUUUUAGUUAUUUACUUGGUCAACCCUAUACGAAA